AUUGGAUAGGAUUUCUAUGAUAUUUGCAUAUCUACUAGUUAGAUCAAGCUUAAAUUUAGCAUGGUUUGAAGGACUUGAAGACCAAGUUGUACACCAAUUUUGAGUCAAAGUCAGCUGUUGGAAAAGGAGAAAUCACUAUUGGAAUUUUUGGUUUACUUUUCAAGUUGGCGGCCGAGUGACAUCAGUGCAAGUUUUGGGGGUUUUCUUACAAUCUAUAAGUUGGGUUGGAUUGAAAAUUCUUGAGCAUAUAGAAGACUUAUAUUGACAAUUGAAUGCAAAUUUUUACAUCAAGUGGACAAUCAAAUUAGUAGUUACAACUUAUUAAAGCUUACUAAUUAGGAUUAGAAUUUACAAGAAAAAUCUAAAUUGCUUAAAUAUAAAAGUAACAAGGUAAUUGGAAUUUAUGUAUGAU
rnacentral:lncRNA from 1 species